AAGAGUAUAAUUUAAAAGGUAAAAUAUAAAGCUUCAAACUUUAGUUUUUCAGUUCAAAUCUGGAUGCUCUUG